GCUGACUGAAUUCUCUUGACGGACGAACUCCCACUGCACCACCCGAGCUCCUUCAACAUGAGUUCCCCCAGUUAUCUAUUAAGCCGCCCAAAGUGCUCACUAAGCUCCGCCGCCAGCCGACUUUCUACGACUAUCAGCUGUUCCCUGAAUCCCUUCCAGACUUCUUCCAGCCAGGCUCAACUCCAAUCCGAACUACCCCGGACUUCGCCAACGGCUGAACUUCUCCAACGGUAGAUUCCUACAACUACCAGAUUUCAGCCCGGACUCCUACGGGAGCCGGAUCUCGUCCCCGACCUC
rnacentral:lncRNA from 1 species